CAACAACAACGGGUUAGUCACGCGAACGACUAGCCCAUUCGAUUAUUAUUCGAGCAAAUCGCACAAGGAUAAAUUAUAAUAGUCCUCAUGUAUAGGUAACAGAAGAGGAAAGAUCAAGAGGAUGAAUAAGAAAGAUUCAGAGGUGGAGGAAGAAAUCGGGGUUGCUGCGAUAGCGAAGGUGGAGAGGAUGAGGCUAUUCGGAAGACUGAAGAGGCCGAAGCUAUGAAGAACGGAGCACGAUCUUUCCUUGUCAUCGUGACCGUCUCUGGCCGAUUUUUAAACAAGGAGGCGAAUUCAAACGGCAUUGUGUCGUCACGUGCAGCCACUCGCUCUCUCUCAACAGAAUGUUGUUAGAACCUCUUUCCUCUGUAUAACCGCAAAACUUUCAUAUAUUGUCUCUUCUCCUCGUUUUCUUAUUUUACUUCUUUAUUUUAUUCUUUUUCAUAUCCGUUGUUUUUGAUUUCUUACGAUUAAUAAUACAAAUAAUUUAUAUUUUUUUCAUUAACAUAUAUACAUAUUAUAAUUUAUAAGCAUUUAUAAGCAUUUUUGCUAAGUUUUUCUGUAUGCAAAAAAUGCAAAUCGAUUCCUAUUUCCUUUUUUGAAAAA